rnacentral:rRNA from 1 species
UACGGAGGGUGCAAGCGUUAUCCGGAUUCACUGGGUUUAAAGGGUGCGUAGGUGGCUUUGUAAGUCAGUGGUGAAAUGCCGCAGCUCAACUGCGGAACUGCCAUUGAUACUGCUUAGCUUGAAUCAGGUCGAGGUGGAUGGAAUAUUACAUGUAGCGGUGAAAUGCUUAGAGAUGUAAUAGAACACCGAUUGCGAAGGCAGUUCACUAGGCCUGUAUUGACACUGAGGCACGAAAGCGUGGGGAUCAAACAGGG